ensembl:rRNA 5S_rRNA 5S ribosomal RNA
GUCUACGGCCGUACCACCCUGAACAUUCCCGAUCUCAUCUGAUCUCAAAACCUAGGCAGGUCAGCCUUGGUUAGUACUUGGUGGAAGAAUGUAAAGUUUGAUU